GCCACCAUAGCUCAACGGUAGAGCAACCGCCUUGUAAGCGGUAGGUUAUGAGUUCGAAUCUCAUUGGUGGCU
rnacentral:tRNA from 1 species